AUGUCUGUAUCGCUUUGGGUGCCUUUCGUGGCCUUCGUGGCCUGUCUAAUGGUCUCCUCAGUGGUCGCCAAUGGCUUUAGCACCCAGUACCAGGGGCACAGGCAGCACCCGACCAUUCCGGAUCACUGCCUCUAUGAGGAACUGGACCUGGCCGUUCCGCUCCACGGAUCCGUUCUGCCCGCCGGACACGACGGCUACUGCAUCCGGUUGGAGUGCACCGACGACUACCUGCUGAUGAUCCGACACUGCGACAAACAGCCUUUUCCUCGACCUGGCUGUCAUCUUUCGGCCCACGACUAUGACCUUCAGUACCCCGACUGCUGCCCCCAACUCGAGUGUUCCGACGGAUUCUAGAUAAAAGGUUACAGUGGUUUCCAAAAAAAUAGCUCUGAUAUUCCUGGAUUUUUGAUAUAAUAUAUAAAGAAAGAGCAUUUAAGGAUCCGGAAUCUGAAAAAAAAUUAAAAAAAUAACUAUUAAGCUGUCAAUAUUAUUAAAUAAAUCAAUCUAUAAGUACAUAUAUUGUAUAGCAAUUACUAUUGACAUGGUUAAAGUCCAGAUUUAUUAAUGAUAUCCCUUCUACUUAUGUAAGUUUGGGGUAAUUAAAUAAUAAAUUACCAGCCCCUAACAGCUUAGCACAAAAA